UCGCUCUCUUUCACCCACUAAGAGGAAACAAUCUUCACAGUUGGGCCAUCUGUCACAAUGCUGCAGGCUGUACUUUUCUGGCUUUUCCUGCUUCGAGUCCAGUCCAGUGUUCCUCCUGUGUUCGUCCAGAAAGGCAAAGAUGUACUUCUGGAUGUCGACAAUGUGACUGAAGACUGUAAUUUAUUUGUAUGGAGACUUGAUGAAGAGAGUUUGAGUUUAGUCACUUUUUUCCCUGAUGGCAAAUCAAAAAUCUCUCCAGCUUACACUGGAAGGAUUGAUCACCCUGACAACAAGAAAUACUCUGUGAUACUGAAGAACCUACAAGAGACAGACAGUAGAGUUUAUUCUGCAUGAGUGACAACAGACGAUGGCGACUCCACAUUAGUCCAACACAACAUCAUAGUUCAAGAUGUUGUGUCUCCCGUCCAGCUGGAGGUGAACUCUGUAUCAAGCAGCUCACACUCCUGUAACGUCACUCUGACCUGCAGCACGGCCGACUCUCACAUCAGCAGCACUUUCAGAUGUAUCGAUCAAAAAUGUGAUCAGG